GAUGAACGCUGGCGGCGUGCCUAAUACAUGCAAGUCGAGCGGACAGACGAUGAUCUUGCUGCGUGCACGUUAGCGGCGGACGGGUGAGAAACACGUGUAUCCCCUACCUAUAAGACUGGGAUCACUUCGGAAAACCGGAUCUAAUCCCGUAUAAUAUCUUGAAGCGCAUGGUGCGAUAGUAAGAUACGGUUUUUCUGGCACUUAUCGAUGGAUCCGCGCCGCAUUAGCUGGUCGGUAAGGUAACGGCUUACCAAGGCAACGAUGCGUAUCCGACGUGAGAGGCUGGUCGGCCACACGGGAGCGGAGCCACGGUCAAGAGUCCUACGGGAGGGCGCAGUAGCGUACGUUCCGCAGUGGGCGAAAGCAUGACGGAGUGGCGGGGCGCGAGUGGUGGAGGCCUUCGGUUCGUGAAAACGUGUUAUUAGGGAAGAACAACUGUGUAAGUAAACAUGGCGGUAUUGACGGUAACUAGUAAGAAAGCCCCGGCUAACUACGUG
rnacentral:rRNA from 1 species